rnacentral:rRNA from 1 species
CGCCUUNGACCGCGACCCCAGGUCAGGCGGGAUCACCAA